UACGAAGGGGGCUAGCGUUGUUCGGAAUUACUGGGCGUAAAGCGCACGUAGGCGGAUUUUUAAGUCAGGGGUGAAAUCCCGAGGCUCAACCUCGGAACUGCCUUUGAUACUGGAGAUCUUGAGUCCGGAAGAGGUAAGUGGAACUGCGAGUGUAGAGGUGAAAUUCGUAGAUAUUCGCAAGAACACCAGUGGCGAAGGCGGCUUACUGGUCCGGAACUGACGCUGAGGUGCGAAAGCGUGGGGAGCAAACAGG
rnacentral:rRNA from 1 species